ACGCAAUAGAUACCCAGGUAGUCCACGCCGUAAACGAUGGAUACUAGCUGUUGGAGGUAUCGACCCCUUCAGUAGCGAAAGCUAACGCGUUAAGUAUCCCGCCUGUGGAGUACGGUCGCAAGACUAAAACAUAAAGGAAUUGACGGGGACCCGCACAAGCGGUGGAUCGUGUUCUUUAAAUUCGAUGAUAAACGAAGAACCUUACCAGGGCUUGACAUCCAGGGAAGCACUACGAAAGUAGAGUGUGCCUUUUGGAACCCUGUGACAGGUGAUGCAUGGCCGUCGUCAGCUCGUGUCGUGAGAUGUUUGGUUAAGUCCAUCAACGAGCGCAACCCUUGUGAAUAGUUGUAUUUUUCUAUUCAGACUGCCCCGGUAACGGGGAGGAAGGAGGGGAUGAUGUCAGGUCAGUAUUUCCCUUACGUCCUGGGCUAGAAACACGAUACAAUGGCUAGUACAAUGCGCAGCAAAGCCGCGAGGUGGAGCAAAUCGCAUCAAAGCUAGUCCCAGUUCGGAUAAGAGGCUGAAACUCGCCUC
rnacentral:rRNA from 1 species